rnacentral:rRNA from 1 species
GAGUUUGAUCCUGGCUCAGGAUGAACGCUGGCGGCGUGCUUAACACAUGCAAGUCGAACGAAGCGCCUUAUUUGAUUUUCUUCGGAACUGAAGAUUUGGUGACUGAGUGGCGGACGGGUGAGUAACGCGUGGGUAACCUGCCCUGUACAGGGGGAUAACAAUCAGAAAUGACUGCUAAUACCGCAUAAGACCACAGCACCGCAUGGUGCAGGGGUAAAAACUCCGGUGGUACAGGAUGGACCCGCGUCUGAUUAGCUGGUUGGUGAGGUAACGGCUCACCAAGGCGACGAUCAGUAGCCGGCUUGAGAGAGUGAACGGCCACAUUGGGACUGAGACACGGCCCAAACUCCUACGGGAGGCAGCAGUGGGGAAUAUUGCACAAUGGGGGAAACCCUGAUGCAGCAACGCCGCGUGAGUGAAGAAGUAUUUCGGUAUGUAAAGCUCUAUCAGCAGGGAAGAAAGUGACGGUACCUGACUAAGAAGCCCCGGCUAACUACGUGCCAGCAGCCGCCGCAACG